UAUACUUAUGGCAUGAGCCAUUCAAUACUCCAUUAUACUUCGAUGACAGCUUCGAUUUUUUCAGGUAUUUGAGGUUAGAUAAAUAACCUUCUUCUGAGCCAUUUAACACUCCGUUAUUUUUUUGGCAACAUCGUUCUGCUAUAAAGUAAAUCACAAUAAAUAAACUAUGGCUGCUUACAUCAAUCGCACAGUUUCAAUGAUUGGAGGAGACAGCCAACUUCGUGUAAACGAUGCUAGAAUUGACAAUUUUCAAUUCUCUGGUCAACUGGAUCAUGAUUUAUGUGAAGAAAAGUUCUGUGAAAGCAAUUUGGUGUGAAUAUUCUGGCCAAAAGAAAAGUGCUUCGUUUUGCGUGAUGAUGUAGUUUUUGUCGAUAGUCCCGGCGUUGAUGUGACACCUAAUCUGGAUGAAUGGAUUGAUGCUGAAUCAACUUUGAUGGUGACAGUACGAGCUCAAUAUUAAGACAAAGCUGUUGAUUUUCUUUCGAAAGAACUACAAGUGUAUACUCCGAAGGAUGCUGAAGAUCAUAUUUUCUUCAUCUCAGCUAAUAUAAGGAAACUCUUCAAGCUCGUAUGCAAGAGCAGCGUGGGUCAACCUGCACACAAAAGACGAAGUUUUUAUCAACUGAGGGAUGCUCUCAAUGCAUUUAUGAACCGUAAUAGAUUUGAUAAUUUUUCGAGGCAGCAAACGCAGGGAAGGCAUGCGGAGAGGCAGCCACGCGUUCGAGAAAAAAGACGCGAAAUGUAAUAAACAAGAGAGCACGUUAAAGACGAUUGUUAUCAUUCGAGUAAAAAAAGUCCAAUGCAUGAUAAAGAUAAGAUUCAAUAUCAGUGCUCUGCAGUGGUCUGGGUGCGACCCGAAAGGUCCACACGACCAACUUCCCAGUGGAAAAAAUGAAAAAACAAACAUUCUUUAUAACAAAUGGAAUUUUUAUAAA